rnacentral:rRNA from 1 species
GACGAACGCUGGCGGCGUGCCUAGUACAUGCAAGUAGAACGCACAGUUUAUACCGUAGCUUGCUACACCAUAAACUGUGAGUUGCGAACGGGUGAGUAACGCGUAGGUAACCUGCCUGGUAGCGGGGGAUAACUAUUGGAAACGAUAGCUAAUACCGCAUAAUAUUGAUUAUUGCAUGAUAAUUGAUUGAAAGAUGCUAUUGCAUCACUACCAGAUGGACCUGCGUUGUAUUAGCUAGUAGGUGAGGUAACGGCUCACCUAGGCGACGAUACAUAGCCGACCUGAGAGGGUGAUCGGCCACACUGGGACUGAGACACGGCCCAGACUCCUACGGGAGGCAGCAGUAGGGAAUCUUCGGCAAUGGACGAAAGUCUGACCGAGCAACGCCGCGUGAGUGAAGAAGGUUUUCGGAUCGUAAAGCUCUGUUGUAAGAGAAGAACGGGUGUGAGAGUGGAAAGUUCACACUGUGACGGUAUCUUACCAGAGAGGGACGGCUAACUACGUG